rnacentral:rRNA from 1 species
GACGUAGGGCGCGAGCGUUGUCCGGAUUUAUUGGGCGUAAAGAGCUCGUAGGCGGCUUGUCGCGUCGACUGUGAAAUCCCGCGGCUCAACUGCGGGUCUGCAGUCGAUACUGACGUGCUAGAGUGCAGAAAGGGCAAUCGGAAUUCUUGGUGUAGCGGUGAAAUGCGUAGAUAUCAGGAGGAACACCGGUGGCGAAGGCGGGUCUCUGGGCCGAUAUUGACGCUGAGGAGCGAAAGCGUGGGGAGCAAACAGG